AGCAGCCGCGGUAAUUCCAGCUCCAAUAGCGUAUAUUAAAGUUGUUGCAGUUAAAAGCUCGUAGUUGAAUUUCGGGAUCAAUUUAUUGGUCGUGCAAUAGUACGUACUGGUAUUAUUGGUUCCUACCUUCUGAUGAACCAUGAUGUCAUUAAUUUGGUGUUAUGGGGAAUCAGGACUGUUACUUUGAAAAAUUGAGUGUUUAAAGCAGGCUCACGCUUGAAUACAUUAGCAUGGAAUAAUGAAAUAGGACGUUUGAUUCUAUUUUGUUGGUUUCUAGGAUCGACGUAAUGAUUAAUAGGGAUAGUUGGGGGCAUUAGUAUUCAAUUGUCAGAGGUGAAAUUCUUGGAUUUAUGAAGACUAACUACUGCGAAA
rnacentral:rRNA from 1 species